rnacentral:sRNA from 1 species
GCUGGGAGUGGUGGUGCUCUCCUGUAAUCCCAAUGACUUGGGAGGCUGAAGCAGGAGGAUCAGUCUCAGUACCUUAGUGAGGCCCUAAACAACUUAGUGAGACUCUGUCUCAA